CUCCUGGUCUGAUACGUUGUCGUCUUUUGGUGGCCGUGCUCGAUCGAAGAAUCCGCACUGAAGAAUAAGUGAAUAGAAAUGGUUAAGGAUGAAGAGAAGGAGAAACAAAUAAAGGACAACAUAGAGAGAGAAGCUUCCGUACCUUCCACAUAACUAGGGUUAGGAUGGCGAGCACCAGCAACCCCAGUAAAAUGGCCAGAAUAAUCACCCACAGAGGAAUGGCAAAGGACAGAUCAGGAAUCGCCCAUACGACAUACGUACCAAUCUACACACAGACACACACACGAUAAAAGGUUUGAAACAAAGAUAUGCAUCUUAUUCAUCGUCAGAUUCUAAAUCUCUUUUGUGAUAAUGUGAUUAUAAUUGGAAAAUACAGGGCUUUAUACACCAGAGCUUUUUUUUUGUUUGUUUUCAUUUUUUGUUUGUUUUACCACCACCAUAUUUGUAGUGUAUUUGGUUGAUAAAAUCUGGGGCAAGUAUUUCCUAACAAAACUUUCCUUCAAGAUAAUAAAUUAACAUCAAUGUUACAAAAAGUACCGUGUUUAAGAAUACAUUGUUUUUUUUAGCGUGUUGUCAGGAACUACUGGGACAGUUCUCUUCCAGACCACCAGAGGGGGUAAUAGAAGAUGUUUCAUAUGACAUUUGGCAGACACACGUAUCCACAAUGACUGACAUUUUAUCUCAUUUUAUACAACUGAACAGAGCAGGGAUAAGGGCCUUGCUGAAGGGCCCAGCAGUGGCAGCUUGACCUGGGUAGACCUGGGAUUUGAACUUGCAACCUUCUGACUGGUCACCCAACACCUUAAUCACUAGGGUACCACAUCCCUGCCACGCCCCUCCUAUACAGUAUUUUCACCAUCUCACCUGUUUAAAAUUAACAUGAUAUUCUGCCUGUUUUUGUUUCAAAAGUCAUAUUUGUCCUGUGUAAGUUUAGUUAGUUUUUAAUUUAGUCAAUAAAGCAGCCCUUUUGUCUCAUCCUG